rnacentral:lncRNA from 1 species
UUGGGUUAAGCAUGUUUUUAUUUCUAUGUUUUUUUUGUAAUAAAAUUUGGAGCACUUGAGAAUUUGAUUUCUACACAUGUAUUUGCUCAAAACAUUUUCACCCAGAACAGUGAGGAAGCCCAACCAUGGCUUAAUCCCAAAGUUCCUUUCCCAUGGUUUACAAUAGAAGAAGACAACUUCCUUGAUCCAGUAUACUUAUUAGGGCUUUCAUGAAAGUUCAAAUAUGUGAUGCAAUUUAACAGUCCUCUUUGUAGGCGCAAAAAUAAACUCAAUACGUAGAAAAAUUUUUGUAACCUUCAGUUAGGAGAAUAUUACAUUCAGGACACACAAAUCGCCAACCAUAUAAGAGAAAAGAAAAAGGUUACUUAAACGACAGAAAAAAUUUAAGGUUUUGCUCUUUAAAAGGCUCUAUUAAGAAAGCUGAAAGAUGAGGCACUUGAGAUUGGAAGAAAAUAUUUUUAAUAUGUCUGACAAAAAAUUUGCAUCUGGAAUUUAUUCAAUUAAGAUUAUAUUCAUUCAUUUAUGAGAAACACAGAGAGUGAGACAGAGACAUAGGCAGAGGAAGAAGCAGGCUCCCUGCGGGGACCCCUAUGCAGGACCCAGGACCCCGGGAUUAUGACCUAAACCAAAGGCAAAUGCUCAACCACGGAGCCACUCAGAUGUCCCUGCAUCUGGAAUUUAAAAGAACCCUUACAACUCAGUAAGAAAAAGUAAACAACCCCCCCCAAAAAAAAACUCCAGAAUAUUUGAAGAUGAAAAAAGAAGAUACAUUAAUGACCAAUAAAUACAUUUUUAAAAUCUCAGUAGCAUUAUCCAUUAACAAAAUGAAAAUUCAAACUAGUGAGAGACCACUACAUACUAAGAAUAGCUAAAAUUUUAAAAACAACAUUAUCAAGUGUCAGAGAGUAUAGAGACACUGAAACUCAUUGCUGGUAAGGAUAUAGCCAUUUGGAAAAUGUGGGCACUUCUUCAUAAAGUUAACCAUACACUUUCCAUAUGACCAGCACUUCUUCUUUUAGGUAUUUACCCAACAGGAAUGAAAACCUAUGUCCAAAUGGUCAUGAACAGAUGAUGACAUAAACCUACCACGUUCAUUCUUACAGAGAAAUACUACUCAACAAUGAGAAGGCACUGAUUACUGGCACAUGUGAUAACGUGAAUGAAACUCAUUGACAUCGUGCUGAAUGAGUAAAGUCAAACACAAGACAAGUAUAUACGGUCUCAUAAAUAUCAUAUGAACAGAUAAAAUUUAGUGUGGUAGAAAUCAAAUUAGUGUCUCCCUGUGGUAGGUUUAGGAGUGAUGGCAAAGGAGCACAGGGAGGCUUUCUGGGUGAUAGAAAUGUACCAUAUCUUGGUCAGGGGAGGGGGGAUGGUUACAAGGUUGUGUACAUUUGCCAAAACUCCUUUAACUAUAUACUUAAAAUAGCUAUAUUUUAUUGUAUGUAAAUAAACUUCAAUAAAAUUGGCUUUUUAAAUAUAGAGACAUAGGGAUGCCUGGGUGGCUCAGUGAUUGAGUGUCUGCCUUUGGCUCAGGCCGUGAUCCUGGGGUCCUGGGAUCGAGUUCUGCAUCGGGCU